UGGGGGAUAUUGCACAAUGGGCGAAAGCCUGAUGCAGCGACGCCGCGUGGGGUAUGAAGGCCUUCGGGUUGUAAACUUCUUUUGCUCUGAACUAGGCAUGCCUUUGGGGUGUGUUGAGUGUAGGGGUGGAUUAGCGCCGGCUAACUACGUGCCAGCAGCCGCGGUAAUACGUAGGGCGCGAGCGAUGUCCGGAAUUAUUGGGCGUAAAGGGAUUGUAGGUGGCUGGUUGCGUCUGUCGUGAAAGCUCAUGGCUUAACUGUGGGUUUGCGGUGGGUACGGGCUGGCGUGAGUGCAGGAGGGGAGGCUGGAAUUCCUGGUGUAGCGGUGGAAUACGCAGAUAUCAGGAGGAAUACCGGUGGCGAAGGCGGGUCUCUGGGCUGUUACUGACGCUGAGGAGCGAAAGCGUGGGGAGCGAACAGG
rnacentral:rRNA from 1 species